CGCUGCUUAUAUAAAAUUAAGAAGGAGCAUGUGGCCUCUCAAUAUGCAGCAAUUGAAAUUAAGAAGGAGCAGGCCGAUUGACAUCUAGCCUUCAUUGAAAGACGUAAUGCGAUAGCAAGGAAAAAGGCUUUGGCGUAAGACACUCUGCGAAGAGGUUGGUCACCGAGCGCGAAAGACGCCAGAAAUCAACGCACGUUCGUGGAGGAUACAAAGUCUGCGAGGAAAGUUUUUCGCCAAGGCUUUUGUGGUGUGAUUUCGCGAGGAAUUAGUCUUAAACAUGAAACAGCGCCCGCGAUGCGAUUACGGCUCGCUAGGAAUUAGUCCUAAACAAGAAGUGGCGCCCGCGAUGGGAUUACGUUAGCUAAUGUUCGCGAGGAACAUUUUCGCGAGUGUUUUUCUAGAAAGCAAGGAUCACGAGAAGCGGAGCUCGCUAGGUACAAUUGGCGUCAACGCGAUACUAUCCGGCGAAGCACUGCGCCAGAACUUCUUCCAACAAGAGAUGCACGCUCUGAGGCAAAGUCGAUCAAAGGGCC
rnacentral:lncRNA from 1 species